rnacentral:rRNA from 1 species
CCUACGGGAGGCAGCAGUGAGGAAUAUUGGUCAAUGGACGAGAGUCUGAACCAGCCAAGUAGCGUGAAGGAUGACUGCCCUAUGGGUUGUAAACUUCUUUUAUAUGGGAAUAAAACAGGGUAUGCAUACCCUCUUGUAUGUACCAUAUGAAUAAGGAUCGGCUAACUCCGUGCCAGCAGCCGCGGUAAUACGGAGGAUCCGAGCGUUAUCCGGAUUUAUUGGGUUUAAAGGGAGCGUAGGUGGAUUGUUAAGUCAGUUGUGAAAGUUUGCGGCUCAACCGUAAAAUUGCAGUUGAAACUGGCAGUCGUGAGUACAGUAGAGGUGGGCGGAAUUCGUGGUGUAGCGGUGAAAUGCUUAGAUAGCACGAAGAACUCCGAUUGCGAAGGCAGCUCACUGGACUGCAACUGACACUGAUGCUCGAAAGUGUGGGUAUCAAACAGGAUUAGAUACCCCGGUAGUC